AACGUUUCGAAAGGAACGCUAAUACCGCAUACGUCCUACGGGAGAAAGCAGGGGACCUUCGGGCCUUGCGCUAUCAGAUGAGCCUAGGUCGGAUUAGCUAGUUGGUGAGGUAAUGGCUCACCAAGGCGACGAUCCGUAACUGGUCUGAGAGGAUGAUCAGUCACACUGGAACUGAGACACGGUCCAGACUCCUACGGGAGGCAGCAGCC
rnacentral:rRNA from 1 species